rnacentral:rRNA from 1 species
CGAAUGGAGCGAGCGUUGUUCGGAAUCACUGGGCGUAAAGGGUGCGCAGGCGGUCAUGAAAGUCAGAAGUGAAAUCCCCGGGCUUAACCCGGGAAUGGCUUUUGAAACUCCAUGACUAGAGUAUUGGAGAGGUUGGCGGAAUUCCGAGUGUAGAGGUGAAAUUCGCAGAUAUUCGGAGGAACACCAAUGGCGUAGGCAGCCAACUGGACAAUUACUGACGCUCAUGCACGAAAGCGUGGGGAUCAAACAGGAUUAGAUACCCUGGUAGUCCACGCCCUAAACGAUGUGUGCUAGUUGUCGGGCCCUUUAGGGUUCGGUGACGCAGCUAACGCUUUAAGCACACCGCCUGGGGAGUACGGUCGCAAGAUUA